UGGGGAAUCUUGGACAAUGGGCGCAAGCCUGAUCCAGCCAUGCCGCGUGGAUGAUGAAGGCCUUAGGGUUGUAAAAUCCUUUCGUGGGGGACGAUAAUGACGGUACCCCAAGAAGAAGCUCCGGCUAACUUCGUGCCAGCAGCCGCGGUAAUACGAAGGGGGCUAGCGUUGUUCGGAUUUACUGGGCGUAAAGCGCGUGUAGGCGGGUCGUUAAGUUGGGGGUGAAAUCCCGAGGCUCAACCUCGGAACUGCCUUCAAAACUGGCGACCUGGACUCAAGCAGAGGCAAGUGGAAUUGCGAGUGUAGAGGUGAAAUUCGUAGAUAUUCGCAGGAACACCAGUGGCGAAGGCGACUUGCUGGGCUUGUAGUGACGCUGAGACGCGAAAGCGUGGGGAGCAAACAGGAUUAGAUACCCCAGUAGUCCCUGAGCGGGCUGGCAAGGCGCAU
rnacentral:rRNA from 1 species